UGCCAGCCGCCGCGGUAAUACGGAGGGUGCAAGCGUUAUCCGGAAUCAUUGGGUUUAAAGGGUCCGCAGGCGGACGUAUAAGUCAGUGGUGAAAUCCUGCAGCUUAACUGCAGAACUGCCAUUGAUACUGUACGUCUUGAAUUCGGUCGAAGUGGGCGGAAUGUGUAGUGUAGCGGUGAAAUGCAUAGAUAUUACACAGAACACCGAUAGCGAAGGCAGCUCACUAACAAUUAACUGACGCUGAGGGACGAAAGCGUGGGUAGCUAACAGGAUCAGAUA
rnacentral:rRNA from 1 species